CUAUCUUUCAAGGCAUACUAACAACUGUUUGAGUUCUAGGAUCCAUACAAAAACUCAAAACCUAGAUCAAUGUCGCUUGGGAAUGUCAGAUAUGAACAGCUUAUUCUGAACAGUAGGCUCGUGUCUCUGAGCUUCGAGUAAUUAUUAGGUGAACUAGGUCCACCCAUGGAUCUAGGAUCAUUUAAAAAUGAUUUCAUCCCAAGUCCACAG
rnacentral:lncRNA from 1 species